CCCUUAGAUGUUCUGGGCCGCACACGCGCUACACUGAAGGAGGCAGCGUGUACUCCUGGAUCGAAAGAUUUGGGUAACCCGCGAAUCUCCUUCGUGCUAGGGAUUGAGGUUUGCAAUUAUCCUUCAUGAACGAGGAAUUCCCAGUAAGUGCAAGUCAUAAGCUUGCGCUGACUACGUCCCUGCCCUUUGUACACACCGCACGUCGCUACUACCGAUUGAAUGAUUUAGUGAGGACUUCGGACUGGGACCGAUGCGGCUUUCGGGCUGCGUCGGUAUUCUGGAAAGAUGUCCAAACUGUAUCAUUUAGAGGAAGUAAAAGUCGUAACA
rnacentral:rRNA from 1 species